GUGCUUCCAGCGGGUGGUGGGGGGCCUGGUGUGCUGGCAUCAAGUAAGCCGACUACCUCGGCAAAGGCUUAGGGACAAGAGACCAGCAGCCUGAACUGGCUGGGGCAUCCGGAAGGCUUAGAUCUUGUGGCCAAGAGUUCAGACCGUGGCGAAGUGGAGAGUGACAUGCAGUUGGAUGGCGGUGACUGCGUGGUCCUGCAACCCUGGUUCCAGUCUGGCAAGCAUUGUAGACCUGGCUGCUGAAGACUGACGGGGCCCAGGGUCCGCUGCCCCCACCGCCAUCACCACCUCGGAACCCAGGGUAACGCUGUCAGUCUUUGAUGAUGUCAGAAGUGGGAUCCAAAGUAGAGCUUAUAAUGACACCCAGGAGUGCUGAGUGACCAAGCAAGGUACCCACCAGGCCGAUUAUGUCCAUUGUUCUCUUGGAGCAGCUGGUCAUCAUGGUAAGUUCUCUCUCAGAUUCAGAAGCUCCGCAUAUUUGUGUUUUGAGCUCUCCAAGUUUAUAUGAGCCCAUUUCUAAUCCAAACUGCGUUUGGAAGUCAUGCCAAAAACUGAACUGGGUCCAGAAUCAAAUUAGAUCUGGUAAUUAAGUGGCUUGGAUCCAGUUAGAGGCCUCUUACAUCUGACUGGGUCAGAAGAAAACCAGUAGUAAAUGGCAAUAAUGCAAGGAUAAAAUUUGGCUUUCAUUCUUGAACAAGAUUUUCAUGUAAUAUUAAAGAAUAAUGAAUGAUUUUUGUUCAACUUUGAAUAAACUACAGGAAAAAAAAAGACAGAUACAACAAAAGAUUGUUUGGAAAGCUAAGUCUUCCCUCUAUUAAUGA
rnacentral:sRNA from 1 species